UUCGAUUAGAGUUGAUCCUGGCUCAGAACGAACGCUGGCGGCGUGCCUAACACAUGCAAGUCGAACGAGAAAGUUUCCUUCGGGGAAUGAGUAAAGUGGCGCACGGGUGAGUAACACGUGGAUAAUCUACCUCUAAGUGAGGGAUAACUUCGCGAAAGCGGGGCUAAUACCUCAUAAUAUUAUUUUCUCCUUGGGGAAGAUAGUCAAAGGUGGCCUCUGUUUCAAGCUAUCGCUAAGAGAUGAGUCCGCGUCCCAUUAGUUUGUUGGUAAGGUAAUGGCUUACCAAGACUACGAUGGGUAGCUGGUCUGAGAGGAUGACCAGCCACACUGGAACUGAGACACGGUCCAGACUCCUACGGGAGGCAGCAGUGAGGAAUCUUGCGCAAUGGGGGAAACCCUGACGCAGCAACGCCGUGUGAGUGAUGAAGGCUUUCGGGUCGUAAAGCUCUGUUAGGUGGGAAGAAAAGUUCUCGACCAAUAAUCGAGCAUCUUGACGGUACCACCAGAGGAAGCACCGGCCAACUCCGUGCCAGCAGCCGCGGUAAUACGGAGGGUGCAAGCGUUGUUCGGAAUUACUGGGCGUAAAGAGCGUGUAGGCGGCUAGUUAAGUCAGAUGUGAAAGCCCUGGGCUCAACCCAGGAAGUGCAUUUGAAACUAAUUAGCUAGAGUACGAGAGAGGAAGGUGGAAUUCCUGGUGUAGAGGUGAAAUUCAUAGAUAUCGGGAAGAAUACCGGUGGCGAAAGCGGGCCUUCUGGCUCGAUACUGACGCUGAGACGCGAAAGCGUGGGGAGCAAACAGGAUUAGAUACCCUGGUAGUCCACGCCGUAAACGUUGGGCACUAGGUGUGGGA
rnacentral:rRNA from 1 species